AUAAAUCUAGUGUUCUCAAGCGAGGAAUAAACGGGAAGCCCUGUCCCAGCAAACAAUGCCAGUCUUGGGCACUGACUCAGGGGGCAGCAGAAUUGUGGGAUUUCAGAGCCAUUAGUGCUCCCAGAUACCAUCUGGGCAUGUUGCAGAUGAGUCCUGUGAAAUAUUCAACACCAGGAUGACCCAGAUCCAUGGGAAAGUGUAUACAAAGCACAGCGAGAAGAGUCAGGAGCAGAGUUAUUUCCUUAUCGUCUUGUCACCGAAUUGGUCAACUGGACCUGCGUUAGGGUCCUAGCCCGGGCCGAGACUCCCUGUCCUGGCCAGGGAGAUUCUUUUUCCUAUCGUAUUCAUGUAGCCAGUAACAACGAAACCGGUGCUGAGACUGGAACAGCACAAGUUUUAUUCAACGGGCAAAGAAUGGAGAAUCCGGAAUGUAAGUUCACAAAGCAACUUCUCAACCCAAUUCUGGCGGAGACGCCAAAUAUAUAGGGCGGUCGAGGGAGGCUCCUCACUGGAAAAGGGAACGAAUAAUAUAUCAUGUGACAGCUUCAAGAACCAGACCUCAAAGUUCUGCUGGGAGCCAAACCUCUCUGUUCCAGAGACAUGGAUCGUGGGCCUUCAGCUGGGGUGGUGAGGGGGCCGUGGACAGUGGCAGCAGCAGGCAGGGGCAGGGCCAGCUCCAUGAUUUGCAGGGUUCAUCGCGAAAUCCAAACUGUGGAGUCACUUGUUCAAAAAUUAUCAAGAAUUUCAAGACAGUGACAACAGAGCGUUAAACUAAACAUGGGGCCCUUCCAAGUCUUCCCUCACUGGUACUUCGGGACCCAUCCAAAACACUUUUAUAAAAGGUGUGAUGUUUGUAAAAUGAGACCAGCUAGGCUGGCUUGUAUGAGCUACUACUUUUCAUUGUGCCUCAACUAACUCUGACCUGUGGAAUAUUCCAGACAGAGGUAUGGCGGGAACAGACAGAGAGUAUCCAGGGGGAAAGUCUUGGGUGUCUGAAGAUCACACCAUGGCAAAAAUGGCCUAGCAGUGAUUUCUGCCUCAGAGUGAGUGGGUGAGGGCAAGUAGAGUGUGAAAAAGUACAUGUGUUGAGUUAGUUAUACAUACAAACCAUAGAAAGUAAAGCCCCACCUGAGGGGGCUUGGUCUAUUCAAGAGGCAGAGAAGGUUAGGUGAGAAAGCCUGGCACAGUGUUGGGUUAGAGAAGGUUUGGAAACCGUGCCUUUGAUUCUUUUUGAAAAACAGCAAUGCAAGGAGAAACAUUUGUAGGUGUUUAUGAAUAUGAAAGAAAUCUGGAAAUGUGAAAUGACAGGUGCCGAUGAGGUUUCUUUGAGAAGAACCCACAGCGGAAUGGAAGCAGGGCACCAGCCUGCCACUUCCCUUGCAGAGGAGAAGUUGGCUGCUCUAUGAACGGGGCCAUACCCAGAAGUUGGGGGGCAGGAAUGUCUGGAGUUUGUGCAUCAGGCAGUUUUUCCCCAGCCACCUCUACAGGAUGACAAGACACUUCUUCCAGAAAACCUGGAGAUAAGAAUUCACACUGCACAGCCCAGGGGCACCCUUCACCUUCUAGCCCAGCAGGGGGCUGUCCUCCAGGGUGUCUUUCCCAUGCCCUGCGAUGGGACCAGUACCCCACUGGCUAUCUGGUGCGGCUCAGUGUCACUCUCCUGCAAGGUGGAGGUGUUCUAGCAAACAGUGGCUUUCCCACUGGUGGUCAGUGCGGUCCCCCUUCGGACACCAUCUUGUCCUCCCUGCAUGGCUAAACGACGAGGGACGACUUGUGUCCUUGUCUCUUUUCUGCUUCACCCUACAGCAUGCCACUGAGUUCCUACUAGGAGAUGAAACUAGCUUGGAGCAAGAUCACCCUGACUCCAGCAAAACUUGGUCUUCCAGAAAAAGUACUUAAUUUAGUUCUAAUGUUCACUUAAUCCUUUAGUCUGGCUACCCUUUUUCCUGGCCGAGUGGUAAGUUACUAUGAUUCUCAUUGAAAGGCUGAGAAUUGCAGAGAUUAAGAGCAUAGAGCCUACACCCAGACUGCUGGAGGUCAAAUCUCACCUCCACCAAUAACAGCUGUGGAAACUUCAGUAAGUCACUGAAACUCUCUGUGCCUCAAUUUCCUCAUCUACAAAAUGGGGAUACUAUGGGUUGUAAGGAGAGUUGUAUGAAUUAAUACAAGAGAAGUCCUGUCGUGGAAUAAAUGUUACUAUUAUUAUUAAAUGAGAAGUAUGAUUAAUUAAAUAAAUAUGUACAAUUACUAUUAAAUAAAAAGAUGACUUUACCAGUUUCUCGAUGGCACCAGUACUUACAUGGGGUAAUUGUUUGGCCUCUGACUGAAAUACUGAGUAUUACUACCUAAAAGCAGCUUCCUAAAAUUGGCUCAAAAGUCAGUAUCCCUGUGUCCAGAUGAGCAGAUUCUUUCUUGCUUCGAAAGAAAAAUGAAAAGGAAAGAAGUGAUUUCUUCUGUGGGGUUGGAUGCUGUCCAGAACCGUAUGGCCAUACUUUAAAUUGAUGAAUGGCUGAAUUGCCGGCAGAGACCCUGACAGGCGGGGACUGCUGGGAUGUUAAAAAUAAAAUGAUAGAAAAUGAAGACAAUUCAGCUGAGUUUCCACAGGGGCAUUUGAUCCGACCAGACUUCUUGCCAGAGCAAAUGAGACCAGAGUGAGCUAACACCUGUAACAACAUCGCCGUUGUCACUGCCUGAAGGGCAGCCACUGUGAGAUGGAAAAGGAAAUAAAUAGUGGGGGGAGGGCAGACAAAAGAAAGAUGCAGGCCUGGGGACCUGAGCGUUCAUGCCGCUUUCGAAAUGACAAUGGGGUUCUAAAAACUGAGCACCACUUAAAACAGGAAAAGAAGAAGGCUUCCAGCCUGUAAAGAUGCUGACCGGCUCCGGCCCUGGCCCUGGGUCAGCCAGGUCUGGACUCAUCCAUGUCAGCGCUGUGUGUCACCCACUGGGUCCUCUGGGCUUGUCUCCCUGGGACAGGCUGCACUCUGCUCUCUUCCUGGAAGCUGAGACUCUGACACUGUAAUUAACUACUACAGUUAUGGGAUGUUUAAAAUAUAUUUUUAUUAUAAAAAAUAUGUGUUUUUUAAAGAACGCUUAGGAAAUACAGAAAGUAGAAAACAAGAAGAAUAAAUUUUUCAAAUCUCACUACCUAGA